GCACUGCUGAGGAGUCCUACGAUGGGACGAAGCGGCCGUCCAGUGC
rfam:Schistosoma rodhaini strain Burundi genome assembly, scaffold: SROB_scaffold0002030